rnacentral:misc_RNA from 1 species
UUUUCGUAGGUGAACCUGCGGAAGGAUCAUUAGUGAACACUGGACGCCGACUCUGCAAAGAGGAGGUUUCCUUUCCACUACCACACACACUUGUGCACCUGUUCUUUUUACAUUAGAUUGUAAAAGUUUUUUAACACUUGUGAUAAACCACAUGAUGUCGUUGAUGUAAACAAUUUGAUAAAUGAAAGAAAAACUUUCAGCAAUGGAUCUCUUGGCUCUCGCAUCGAUGAAGAACGCAGC